rnacentral:tRNA from 1 species
GCCGGAGUGGCGGAAUGGCAGACGCAGCAGACUCAAAAUCUGCCGAUAGCAAUAUCGUGUGGGUUCAAGUCCCAUCUCCGGCACCA